rnacentral:rRNA from 1 species
UACGAAGGGGGCUAGCGUUGCUCGGAAUGACUGGGCGUAAAGGGCGCGUAGGCGGAUGGCACAGUCAGAUGUGAAAUUCCCGGGCUUAACCUGGGGGCUGCAUUUGAUACGUGUGAUCUAGAGUGAGGAAGAGGGUCGUGGAAUUCCCAGUGUAGAGGUGAAAUUCGUAGAUAUUGGGAAGAACACCGGUGGCGAAGGCGGCGACCUGGUCCGUUGACUGACGCUGAGGCGCGAAAGCGUGGGGAGCAAACAGG